rnacentral:lncRNA from 1 species
CUCACUGGUUCUGUGACCCUGGGCAGGUCACCACAGCUGUCUCUGUUUACCCAUAUGUAAAAUGAGGUUAAAUUAGAUCAUCUUCAUUGUUCCUUGCAGACGCAUAAGAUCAGGCAGAAGUGAUGUCAGACUCCAAAUAUGACAUGAUUACUUCUGGGACCUCAGGGAGAGUAUUUAACUUAUCAGAGUCCCAAUUUCCUUACCUAAAAGAUGGGAGCAAUUGUGCCCAUAUCUAGGGCUGCUGAAAAACAAGAAAGAAGAUGUACAUGAAGUUCUGUACUUGGCACAUUAUGUUGUUCAACAAAAGAACGUUAGCUCCAUGGGAGCAGGAGCUUUGUUUAAUUUACCUUGUAUCUCAGCACCUAGAAGAAUGCCUGGUACAUGGCAGACAUUCAGACAUAUGUAUACCCAAGGACAUAUACCAAACAGAAUAGUGUUAUAUCUCUGGGGCAGAAAGAAAUGAGGAUGAAAGAAGAAAGAGAAAAAUUAUCAACGAACACCGAAGCAGCUCUUACAAGGAAUGAUGAACUGAAGAUGAUGCUAUGAAAACUUAAUGCUUUGUUCCUGAGAGGCAGUGAAUAAAUACCAAAUGAAUAAAAGCACAAAGUCAC